rnacentral:rRNA from 1 species
GACGAACGCUGGCGGCGUGCUUAACACAUGCAAGUCGAACGGAAAGGCCCUGCUUUGGGGGGGUGCGCGAGUGGCGAACGGGUGAGUAACACGUGAGUAACCUGCCAUUGACUGUGGGAUAACUUCAGGAAACUGGGGGUAAUACCGGAUAGGAGCUCCUGCUGCAUGGUGGGGGUGGGAAAGUUUCGGCGGUUGGGGAUGGACUCGCGGCUUAUCAGCUUGUUGGUGUGGUAGUGGCUUACCAAGGCUUUGACGGGUAGCAUGCCUGAUAGGGUGACCGGCCACAUUGGGACUGAGCUACGGCCCAGCCUCCUACGGGAGGCAGCAGUGGGGAAUAUUGCACAAUGGGCUGAACCCUGAUGCAGCCCCGCCGCGUGCGGGAUGACGGCCUUCGGUUUGUAUUCCGCUUUCGCCUGUGACGAAGCGUGAGUGACGGUAAUGGGUAAAGAAGCACCGGCUAACUCCGUG